rnacentral:rRNA from 1 species
CAGGAUCUGGUUCUAACCGGCCGGACGAAUUUAAAGUUUAACCCCCGAAACUAAGUGAGCUACUUCGAAACAACUUUAAGAGCUAACCCAUCUCUGUUGCAAUAGAGUGGGAAGAUUUCCAAGUAGAGGCGACAAACCUAUCGCACCUAGAGAUAGCUGGUUACUCAAGAAAAGAAUGUUAGUUCAACUUUAAGUUUUUCUUAGUCACACUAAACCUCUAUUAAACUUAAAAGCUAUUCAAAUAAGGCACAGCUUAUUUGAAAUAGGAUACAACCUAUACUACAGGGUAAUACAAUAAAAUAAAAUGACUUGUGGGCCUAAAAGCAGCCAUCUUAAAUAAAAGCGUUAAAGCUUAACAUUUUCUUUCUUUAAUUUCAUACACUAUUUAAAACCCUUUAACAAUAUUGAGUAAUUCCAUAAAAAUAUGGAAAAUAUAAUGCUAGAACUAGUAACAAGAAAUAGUUUUUCUCCAAAAUGUAAGUCUAAGCCACAUCUGACAAACUAAUGGCAAUUAACGAUAUUGAACCCCCUUUAGCAACCAAUCAAGAAAACCCUACAAAUAAAAACGUUAACCUUACACUAGAACAUUAAUGGAAAGAUUAAAAGAAAAAGAAGGAACUCGGCAAAUUUUAACCCCGCCUGUUUACCAAAAACAUCGCCUCUUGAAACAAACCAUAAGAGGUCCAGCCUGCCCAGUGAUAACAUUUAACGGCCGCGGUACCCUAACCGUGCGAAGGUAGCAUAAUCACUUGUUCUUUAAAUGAGGACUUGUAUCAAUGGCAUCACGAGGGUUUCACUGUCUCCUUUUUCUAAUCAGUGAAACUGAUCUCUCCGUGAAGAAGCGGAGAUUUUCUUAUAAGACGAGAAGACCCCAUGGAGCUUUAAACCCAAUUACACUCCUAUUUUUUAUUAACCUCUUAGACUAUGGAUGUUUGUAUAUUUGGUUUUAGGUUGGGGUGACCACGGAGCAUAACUUAGCCUCCAUGAUGAACGGGAUUUUACCCCUUAUCCAAGAACUACACCUCUAAGAACUAGUAUUCUAACAUAAAAUGAUCCGAUAAUCGAUCAACGAACCAAGUUACCCUGGGGAUAACAGCGCAAUCCACUUCAAGAGCUCCUAUCGACAAGUGGGUUUACGACCUCGAUGUUGGAUCAGGGUAUCCUAGUGGUGCAGCA